rnacentral:rRNA from 1 species
GACGAACCGUCCAAACGUUAUUCGGUGUCACUGGGCUUAAAGGGUGCGUCGGCGGCCGAGUAAGUUGGGUGUGAAAGCCCUCGGCUCAACCGAGGAAUUGCGCCCAAAACUGCUCGGCUCGAGGGAGAUAGAGGUGAGCGGAACUUAGGGUGGAGCGGUGAAAUGCGUUGAUAUCCUAAGGAACACCGGAGGCGAAGGCGGCUCACUGGGUCUUUCCUGACGCUGAGGCACGAAAGCUAGGGGAGCGAACGGG